rnacentral:rRNA from 1 species
UACGUAGGGCGCAAGCGUUGUCCGGAAUCAUUGGGCGUAAAGAGCUCGUAGGUGGUCUGUUACGUCUGCUGUGAAAUCCUAGGGCUUAACCCUGGGCCUGCAGUGGAUACGGGCAGACUAGAGGUAGGUAGGGGAGAAGUGGAAUUCCCGGUGUAGCGGUGAAAUGCGCAGAUAUCGGGAGGAACACCGGUGGCGAAGGCGGUUCUCUGGGCCGUUACCUGACACUGAGGAGCGAAAGCGUGGGGAGCGGAACGAGGAUUAGAAACCCGUGGA